AAGCGCUUGCAGCCAGACUUGCCUGUAGUUGCUUAUCCGGACUUUUGUCCGGUGCACUCUUCUGCAGGCAGGCCAGCAUCAGUUUGGGCGGUUGGAUAAAGGUCUCUAUCACGUACCUCCCUUCGGGGUUGGCCUUAUAGGGGAGACGUCAUGCAACCAGCCUGGACUGAGGUCCGCGCAUCUGCUAGGAUGCUGGCGUAAUGGCUGUAAGCGG
rnacentral:rRNA from 1 species